rnacentral:misc_RNA from 1 species
GAUGAAGAACGUAGCGAAAUGCGAUAAGUAAUGCGAAUUGCAGAAUUCCAGUGAGUCAUCGAAUCUUUGAACGCACAUUGCGCCCUUUGGUAUUCCGAAGGGCAUGCCUGUUCGAGCGUCAUUAUCACCCCUCAAGCCCUCGGCUUGGUGUUGGACGGUUUGGUGGAGGCCCCCUCGGGGGCUCCUGCCCCUCCCAAAGACAAUGACGGCGGCCUCGUUGGACCCCCGGUACACUGAGUUCUUCACGGGACACGUAUCGGACACAUGGGUUUACGGGACACGGUCUGCCUCCCCUCAGGGAGAAUCUUUCUAAGGUUGACCUCGGAUCAGGUAGGGAUACCCGCUGAACUUAAGCAUAUCAAUGCGGAGGA